ACGGAUGAUGGCGACUACAACGUCAAGCUGCGCAACCUGAAGCGCUUCCUGGAAGAUGGCGACAAGACCAAGAUCACGCUGCGGUUCCGUGGUCGCGAGAUGGCCCACCAGGAAAUCGGCGCGCGCAUGCUCGAACGCCUGAAGGCGGACCUGGAAGAGAUCGGCCAGGUCGAGCAGAUGCCGAAGAUGGAAGGGCGCCAGAUGGUGAUGGUGCUCGCCCCCAAGAAGAAGAAGUAAUUCCUGCGCGGUGCGGCGGCCGGGAUGCCAGUCAUCCCGGCGUUGCUUCGUGCGGAAGUCGCGCGGGGUCCGCCAGGGCCAUCGUGCAACAACAAGUGGA
rnacentral:misc_RNA from 1 species